GAUAAGCCGCGUGAAGGAUUGCAGUGAAAAGCCUGCCUGUGCCGGCAGGCAAGCCCACAGCCCCGUCCCGAUGGUAAUCGGGAUCAGGGGCGCGGACUUGCAACAGAAAGCCUGACCCUUG
rnacentral:sRNA from 1 species